rnacentral:misc_RNA from 1 species
GAUGAAGAACGUAGCGAAAUGCGAUAAGUAGUGUGAAUUGCAGAAUUCAGUGAAUCAUCGAAUCUUUGAACGCACCUUGCGCUCUUUGGUAUUCCGAAGAGCAUGCCUGUUUGAGUGUCAUGAAAAUAUCAACCUUGACUUGGGUUUUGUGCUCUAGUCUCGGCUUGGAAUUGGGUGCUUGCCGCUUUUACGAGCGGCUCACCUUAAAUGUAUUAGCUGGAUCUGUCUUUGAGACUUGGUUUGACUUGGCGUAAUAAGUAUUUCGCUAAGGACAUUCUUCGGAGUGGCCUCGUUUCUAGGACGCUUGUCCGCUUUCCAAUACAAGUUCCACCUCGUGGACAUGACUUUUUAUUAUCUGGCCUCAAAUCAGGUAGGACUACCCGCUGAACUUAAGCAUAUCAAUAAGCGGAGGA